rnacentral:rRNA from 1 species
AUUGAACGCUGGCGGCAGGCCUAACACAUGCAAGUCGAGCGGAUGAGAAGAGCUUGCUCUUCGAUUCAGCGGCGGACGGGUGAGUAAUGCCUAGGAAUCUGCCUGGUAGUGGGGGACAACGUUUCGAAAGGAACGCUAAUACCGCAUACGUCCUACGGGAGAAAGCAGGGGACCUUCGGGCCUUGCGCUAUCAGAUGAGCCUAGGUCGGAUUAGCUAGUUGGUGAGGUAAUGGCUCACCAAGGCGACGAUCCGUAAGUGGUCUGAGAGGAUGAUCAGGCACACUGGAACUGAAACACGGUCCAGGCUCCGACGGUAGGCAGUAGUGGGGAAUAUUGGACAAUGGGCGAAAGCCUGAUCCAGCCAUGCCGCGUGUGUGAAGAAGGUCUUCGGAUUGUAAAGCACUUUAAGUUGGGAGGAAGGGCAGUAAGUUAAUACCUUGCUGCUUUGACGUUACCGACAGAAUAAGCACCGGCUAACUCUGUGCCAGCCGCCGCCGUAAUAC